rnacentral:misc_RNA from 1 species
UUAAGUUCAGCGGGUAGUCCUACCUGAUUUGAGGUCAAAAUAUCAAAGAGAGUUGUUAUAAACAACAACAAUUGGAAGCUGGCAAUUUGUUUCAAAAGCAAUUAGCAUAGAUAUUUAUCAAACUAAAGCUUAUCUGCAAAAUGAUCCAAGCUAAUACAUUUAAGAGGAGCCGACACAAGGCCAGCAACACUCCAAGUCCA